rnacentral:rRNA from 1 species
UCCGUAGGUGAACCUGCGGAGGAUCAUUG